UACGUAGGAGACUAGCGUUGUCCGGAAUUACUGGGUGUAAAGCGCGUGUAGGCGGCAUACCAAGUCUGUUGUGAAAUCGCCCGGCUCAACUGGGCGGGGUCAAUGGAAACUGGUAAGCUGGAGGACGGUAGAGGCGAGUGGAAUUCCCGGUGUAGUGGUGAAAUGCGUAGAGAUCGGGAGGAACACCUGUGGCGAAGGCGGCUCGCUGGGCCGAGCCUGACGCUGAGACGCGAAGGCGUGGGGAGCGAACGGG
rnacentral:rRNA from 1 species